rnacentral:rRNA from 1 species
CUACGGGCGGCAGCAGUGGGGAAUAUUGGACAAUGGGCGAAAGCCUGAUCCAGCAAUGCCGCGUGAGUGAUGAAGGCCUUAGGGUUGUAAAGCUCUUUUACCCGGGAUGAUAAUGACAGUACCGGGAGAAUAAGCUCCGGCUAACUCCGUGCCAGCAGCCGCGGUAAUACGGAGGGAGCUAGCGUUGUUCGGAAUUACUGGGCGUAAAGCGCACGUAGGCGGCUUUGUAAGUUAGAGGUGAAAGCCUGGAGCUCAACUCCAGAAUUGCCUUUAAGACUGCAUCGCUUGAAUCCUGGAGAGGUGAGUGGAAUUCCGAGUGUAGAGGUGAAAUUCGUAGAUAUUCGGAAGAACACCAGUGGCGAAGGCGGCUCACUGGACAGGUAUUGACGCUGAGGUGCGAAAGCGUGGGGAGCAAACAGGAUUAGAUACCCCCGUAGUC